GAAUUUAAAACGUAGAUUCAAAGAAGGUUCAGGAUCUUUUAAAUUAUCAAAACAAAUCAGAACAUCAUCAUGUUCAAAAUAUUAUCGUUUCAGCAAUGCUCAACUAUGAAACGGUUGGUAAAUGUUUCUUAGAGAAUCCGUUGGCGAGUGAAAAUUUGACUUGCAAGGCAGUGAUCUCCACAGCCAUGAAAAUUAUUUCCUUUGAACGUUACUGAAGAAGAUAUGGCCGGGAGACAUGGUAUGAAUAUUUAAUACGUGCUGGUUCUUCGAAGAAUUAUUCAAAUUUCAAACGUAAGCAGAAUUGUUCACCAAGAAUAUUCCCACCCGGAAAGGCAAGUCUGAGAUUUCUCCGUUUUUGAGUUUAUCAAGCAACAGGCUGGCAUGGCAACGUUCGGAUGAUCAUCCUAUUUGUGACUGGACAGAAGGACUCGGACAUUGGUCGGCUUGUUGUCGACAUUUUCCGAAAAUAGCGCUCGCUUAUCGCAAAACGGAAAACAAGUCGCAAUAACAGUACGCACCGUCUUGAGGAAUCAACAGGUGAAAAGCAAAAUAAAACGCAUUGGCCGUUGUUGGGAUAUCUAAUGAAGGAAAUAAUAAUAUAAAAAACUCCUGGUCGAAUGUUAAAUUGUACCCUAUUCAAACGGAAGUGGGGAUAAUGCAGCUUUUACGAUAGAAAUAAAUUAUAGGUCUCUAGAACAGAACAGCCGGUUUAUUAGUAAUAAAUAAAAAAUCGUCCUCCACGUGAAAAAUUUCCUCUUUUUUUUCCAGAGAAGUGACCAAAGAUCCAAGGGAUGAUGUAUCCAAUGACAACGCGAUAUCAAUAUUUAAUAUGUAAUCUAUUCCCUAAUUUAUGCAAAUAAGACGGCUUGUGUCGUUCGAAGUUUCUGAUUGGCUCGCGACCAAAAUAAGUACAAAGCUGUGGCGUUCAGCUGUUCGCCUGUCGCUUUUCUUUGUGCGUGAAUAUCCGGUGAAUGGAGGAGAUAAAAACUCCAGGAAAAGACGAGCCAUAGCGGCUGAAACAGUCAUUAUAGUGAUUUUAAAACAACUUACAAUCUAGAGCAGAGGAUGUGGUGUUUUAUUUCGGAGCCAAACGGCAUAAUUCAUGAAAUUUUCCUCCCGAAGAAUGCCGUCGGGCAAGAGUGUUUGGACAAGGUUUGCGAAAAGCUAAAGCUAGUCGAGAAAGAUUAUUUUGGCUUGAAAUUCGGUGGCGCGAAACGAGCCAAAUUUUGGUUGAAUUUGAGAAAUUCUAUGUCGUCGCAGCUCACUGGAAAGCCGCCGUAUCGACUGUAUUUCUUGGUCAAAUUCUUCGUCAAGCCACAAGAACUUCAGCAAGAAAUUACACGGCACCAGUAUUAUCUGACUUUAAAGAGCUUUAUAAGCGAAGGGAAGCUAGAAUUGUAGUCUGCGCAAACGAAAACCAUCGCUCGACUAUGCGCUCUGGUUGCUCAUAUAGAGUGCGGCGAUUUUAGUCAAGAGCGGGUGCCAAAAUAUUCAUCUUACAUUCCCAUGUCUGUUUAUAAUGUGUACGCCAAAACCUCAGACCUUCAAAAGGAUGCAGCGAUCGAACACAGCAAGCUAGUUGGUGUUCCUGUCUGCGAGUCGAAAGUAGAAUUUUUACACAUUGUGUGCAGUAUUCAGGGCUAUGGAAUAGAACUUUUUCAUGGCAGAUUGAGCGACGAUAAAACGCUUAAAAGGGUGGACAUUUAUGUCGGUAAUGAUGGCAUACGCGUGUUCAGCAUUAACCACGAAUUCGACUUGAAACAAGGAAAAGAUGUCACAAGAAAAGUCCUGGAAAAAAGGGUGUCCUUUGAAGAUGUGUCUACAGUCUCCUACAAUAACCGCUCGUUUACUGUUGUCCACGGGGGAACUGGGCCGCAAGCUCAACGAGACACUUAUAAGAUGAAGUGUGAAAGCGAUGCUGUUGCCUUGUUCCGAACUUUUACGGAGUUCCACACAUUUUUCCAGUGCAACACCGUAAAACGAUCCGUUAUCGAUCAGUGUACGAGGACUUUCGCUGGUCGGCUGUUUUCCGUGUUUGUGCCUCGUAACGAGUUUGGCAGGAUUUUCCUGUUUGACGUACAGCGCACGCGACGCCAGGCGUACAGCCACGCUUGGGGAGAGCUGAACUCGUGUCGGAUGAUUGACAUGACAAGCUCCACCUCGGCAAGUUUUCGUUCAGUCGGUGCGUCAGUGGAGUACCGUCCAGUCCAGUCCCCGCUCUCCCAACGCAAGUGUUAUAGCACAAAGAGGAUCGACGAAGCCGGACCGUCAAGGGGUCAAGGUCGGAGAACUUUGGCUGAGAGAGAAUGCAUGGAAAAUAUGUCCCCAGAACAACUGAAGGUUAUGGUACGACACCUUCAGGACGCCCGAGUCUGUCAGAUCUGCAUGGAUAGCGAGGUCGCCACUGCUUUUUGCCCAUGUGGUCACGUGGUUUGUUGUGUAGAGUGUUCAGCCAUGUGCAAGGAGUGCCCGUUAUGUCGAAGUCAAAUUACUUAUGCACAAAGAGUAUUCUUUCCCUGCGAGUAAAAUGGCACAUUGAUCCUCCCUUAUGCACAACAAACCUCGACGCAGUAACAUAAAAUGGCGAACGUUUGUUUUGUAAAACUUAGUUAACAAAAAGAGUAAUGCUGCGUGGCAGGCCUAUUGUUGUGGAAUGGAAAGAAAUCAAGUUGGUCACGCAGUAAGGAUGCUAUGCAAUAGCUGCCUAAAUACAGAUUAACGUAAGAAGACUCUGCAGUCCGUGAAUGACAAUGCCCUUAGCGAAGAGCAAAGCAGUACUGACUAACCUUUUGACUAAAUAUGAGAAUAUUUAUGGACACAGUACCAAUAAGAGAUGAUCAUGAGAAGGUUGCGUUUUAUACAAGAAUUUAUGAGUAAAAACCAAGAAGAUGUUAUCUAUAGCGACAAACUAAGAGUUGUUUUGUGUCUAAAACAUCAGAAUCCAUUAGAGGAUGCCCAAAAGAUUUUUUAGAGGAAAAGCUUUUCAUAUUUAUUAUGCAAUAAAAGAAAAACGCGUGCAUAAGUAGAGAUUGGUUUUGUAGACGAAGCAUUGAGUUUAACGAUUUAGUUGUUUUAGAUCGGCGAGUUCCAAAAGUGUGGAGGAGAUCACUUAGUGGCAAAAAGCUGUGCAGUGAUUGUCACAUGAGCUAAGAAACGUAAUCGUGCCUUCCAUGCUGGCUCUUCAGCAGGAAUUUGCUCUCGUACAAGAGGGAUUGAAGUUUUCUUCCAUUGUGUAGUGAAGAUUUUAGCUCCACGUGGGAAAAACAAUGGAACAUUUUGGUGUGGUCCUAGGAUUGCUUUUAUGAAAGUUAACGUCAACGAUGGCGAAGUUUAGUAAAUACUUUGACUCGACCCCCUAUUUAGUUAGAAUAGUUACUCGAGGAGUGUGGUUGCAAAAGUGAAAUAAGGUAGUUUUUUCUGGUUUUCUGAAGAAACUUGACGCUUUGGGAUCGUUCGCUCACUUCAUCCCAAAUUGAAUCUUUUUCUAAGUUGGUCGAUCUUAAUCAGGUGAAAACCCGAGGUUAGAUUGAGGUAGACUUUGUAAGAGCGUGGUCGAAUAUCGAUUUGCCUAGUUAGGCUUUGCGCAGUAGGUGUAAGAAAUUUUGUGUUGCCAAAGUUCCUCAGUUUAGUUAGCAUUUCAGAUAACAUUGAUAGUUCGGUAGUUAUUUAUAGUAUUCCUAAAAUCUAUCGAUUGAGUGGUGAUAUUGGUUUGAUAAUUCAGUAACAGAACAGGGAACUCUCCCACUUCUCCCUGGUAAACUAAGAGAUCUAGAUUUUUAAACAAAUAGUUAAGAUUCUAUAAUAAAAGUGCUAUUAAAUGUG